rnacentral:rRNA from 1 species
UGGGGAAUCUUGUACAAUGGGCGAAAGCCUGAUCCAGCCAUGCCGCGUGAGUGAAGAAGGCCCUAGGGUUGUAAAGCUCUUUCAGCGGGGAAGAUAAUGACGGUACCCGCAGAAGAAGCACCGGCUAACUUCGUGCCAGCAGCCGCGGUAAUACGAAGGGGGCUAGCGUUGUUCGGAAUUACUGGGCGUAAAGCGCGCGUAGGCGGAUUGUUAAGUCAGGGGUGAAAUCCCGAGGCUCAACCUCGGAACUGCCUCUGAUACUGGCACUCUCGAGUCCGGAAGGGGUUGGUGGAAUUCCCAGUGUAGAGGUGAAAUUCGUAGAUAUUGGGAAGAACACCGAUGGCGAAGGCAGCCAUCUGGUCCGGUAUUGACGCUGAGGCGCGAAAGCGUGGGGAGCAAACAGGAUUAGAUACCCCCGUAGUCC